GACAGAGGGUGCAAACGUUGUUCGGAAUUACUGGGCAUAAAGCGCACGUAGGUGGUCCGCUAAGUCGCGUGUGAAAUCCCCCGGCUCAACCGGGGAAUUGCGCGCGAUACUGGCGGGCUAGAGAUCGGGAGGGGUGAGUGGAACUCCAGGUGGAGCGGUGAAAUGCGUAGAUAUCUGGAGGAACACCGGUGGCGAAGGCAGCUCGCUGGGACGUGACUGACGCUGAGACGCGAAAGCGUGGGGAGCAAACAGG
rnacentral:rRNA from 1 species